AUUGAACGCUGGCGGCAUGCUUUACACAUGCAAGUCGGACGAGUGGCGGACGGGUGAGUAACGUAUCGGAACGUACCGAGUAAUGGGGGAUAACUGUCCGAAAGGACAGCUAAUACCGCAUAUUAUUUGAGCGGCCGAUAUCGGAUUAGCUGGUUGGCGGGGUAAAGGCCCACCAAGGCGACGAUCAGUAGCUGGUCUGAGAGGAUGAUCCGCCACACUGGGACGGAGACACGGCCCAGACUCCUACGGGAGGCAGCAGUGGGGAAUGUUGGACAAUGGGCGCAACCCUGAUCCAGCCAUGCCGCGUGUCUGAAGAAGGCCUUCGGGUUGUAAAGGACUUUUGUCAGGGAAGCGGUACCUGAAGAAUAAGCACCGGCUAACUACGUGCCAGCAGCGGCGGUAAUAC
rnacentral:rRNA from 1 species